rfam:Triticum aestivum genome assembly, contig: Triticum_aestivum_CS42_TGACv1_scaffold_031371_1BL
UUAAUACUCCCUCCGUCCCAAAAUUCUUGUCUUAGAUUUGUCUAGAUAUGGAUGUAUCUAACACUAAAAUAUGACUUGAUACAUCCGUAUUUAGACAAUAAGACAAAAAUUUUGGGCCGGUGGGAGUACUAC